ensembl:lncRNA
AAAUAAUCUGUUUUUAAAUAACACAAUCACAAAGCAUUUACUUUUUUAACAACCAGUAUUUUUUUAAUGGAAUUGAUAUGGUUUCCAGAACAUUUUGGGCCCUGUCGCGUAAUAUUUUUUUAUCCUAUAAAAUAGCGUUUUUAUUUGAUAUUUUUUUCAAAGCAUAGUUCUCAGUAAAUGAAUAAACAAGCUCAUCUAAGCCUGACCUGCAGUUCGUGUCGUCGAUAGCAUCAUCUCACACAAAAGCGACUUGCGUCCUCGCGCUCUGAUUGGCCAGUUCGCAGCACGGCGCUCCGCAGACGCUGUGAUUGGCCGGUCCGCGGCUGACGUCACUGCAGGAGAGAACAUACUGGGCUGGAUGCUGAGGACUGGUACCAUAGCUGCGCGCCCAGCAUCAUCGGCAUCAUCAUAAUCAAUAUAAUCAAUGCUGCUUUGGAGAGUUUGCCACCUGUUGUAAACGUUUCAGUGUCAGCGCGCGUCCAGAAAGACCAGAGCGGCUUGUUUUGAGAAGAAAUCCAUUGUUUGGUGAGCUUGAGAGGCACAUUUAGACAGCAGAGGAGACAUUGUGGAUUACAGACACGCUGCGUGUUUCGUGUGUUCCAUGUGCAGUUGCACGAGGAUGAGGAUGAUGAUGAUGACGGAGGGAUUCAUGAGAUGUGUUUCUGCAGUCAUGACCUCCAGACCACCAGAGAACCAGCACUCGGGCCUAAAACCUCUUUCUGAGGGUUGGUUUCUCUCUUUGGUUAUCUAGCUGUAUGAGUUUUAACACUUUUCAUAAAGCUAGAUAACCGAAAGUAGAAAUAAUUCUCAAAAUCUGUUGAAAACGAGUAGUCUCGAAGCAAGAGAGCGUCCACUUGUACCUCAGAGUCUUAUUUCCAUCCACAAUAUGGCACAAUAAAGUAACAACAACAAGAGCACAGCCAUCAGAGAGCAUAAGAGAUGCUUGGAGGAACAUGGCAGUCUCCAUUUGCUACAUCUUCCCUUCUCCGCCUACCCAGAAAGCCCCAGUGCCAUCUGUACCCCUGUGGGGUGCGGGAGAAUCCGUGCCAGUGCCAGCGGUGACAAACCCUCGUCAGCGUCACAGGGAGGAAGGGAGGCCAUCUUGACGGAGAUCUUACACGAGAAGCUAAGAUGGCUGGGCUGGCACAUGAGAUGUGGACUGGACUCGGUGGAUUCGAUUAAUUAUGCAUCCAGAGAGAACAAUGGGGAGCCUCAAGCACCUGAAAGUUUAAGAGGCACAUAAAAUCAUGUUGAUGAUGAUGAUGAUGAUGUGUGUGUGAAAAGGACAAGAGCAAGAAAAGAAUUGUACUGUACUGUAUUAUACAGUGUUUUCAUUAAGAUCAUGUACAUCAUUUUAAUACAUUUCUUUACAGUUAGCCUACUUAAAGAUAUUCACAUCUUUCUAAACCUGUAUUUUUUUUCAUUUUUAUUAAUGUAUUUUUUGUUGCCCUGAUAACUGUUAAAAAUGAAAAAUAUGAUGUGCAUCUACAUACAUACAUUUUUGUAUUUUUACAGCCUAUUUAUUUCCUGUUUUUUUAUAUUGAGUUUUUCUGAUUUUUUAUUGUCAUUUAAUUUUAUUUAUAAAUAAAAUAUUUCUACUGUAUAUUGUAUUGUAUGGAUGAAUAAAACUGUGAUUCAAAAAUGAAUG